rnacentral:lncRNA from 1 species
ACGGAAAAAAAUUCUGUAAUGUAGAUAAAAGUUGCAGAGAAUUAAUCAAAUGACUGCUACAUUAAUCAAAUAAGCUAAGGCAGAUUUAGAUACCUCCACCAUUUUCCUUGAAAAUAUUUUUUAAAUGAGCCCGUUUUCCCACCAAUUUAGCUUCCAAAUUGCCUGCAAAAAUCAUACUAAUCACUAUUAUUAUCUUGAUGCUAAGGAAAAUAAAAUAAAUCAACAUGAAAAACUUUGAAACGCUCUAUCCUUAAAAUGGUUUCACACCUGUGUUUUGUGCAAUGAAAUGAGGAUUGGAUUUUCCAACUUAAAUCUUCAAUUCAAUCCCUUCAGGAUGAUGUUUUCACAGUCAAUUUCAACAGAAGGUAUGUGGGAAAUCUUGAACCACUCUCAUCCUUUACCCCUUUUCCACUCUUGUAGCAAUGAGCAGCAGGGAAUUUCUAGCUUCCCAAGCAAGAGAAGAAUGUCUUUUUCUGGAAGAGAUGUGAGUUUAGAGCGAUCAAAGAUGAAUAAAUAUUGAAGAGAGGUGAGGUUCUGAAAGCUCAUGCAGAACGUGUUGCAGAUUUUCGAAAUUUUGUAUGGAGAUAAAGGGGAGGAGGCAGUAUCAUUCCUAUCUCUUCUUCUGGCAAUGACACCACAUCUGUGCAUACUUCACCACCAAUGUAGAGUAUAAAAUACCUUUUUUACAGGCAUUUUUCUUUGAAUGGUUAAACUUCGGACUUUGAUGUGCUAGUGUAAUAUUUUCUAACUAAAAUGCCAUAUGCAAUGUCAUAUGAAAUGUGAAAUAUUUUCUAAUUAAAAUGCCAUAUGCAAUGUCAUAAAUUUUGCAAUCUUAUUUCUAAGAAGUUAAUAAAAAAGAAUAUAGUGCGAUCAUCAUGUUUAUUAAUAUGUUUAUGAAUUUAAUCCUUUUGGCUUCAUAUUCUUGUUGAGUAUUAAAACUAAUUGAACACCUUGUCCUCAUCAAAAUUUUGAUCAAUCAUUGAAAAUGAAAAAAAGAUUGACCUACCUAUGGCUGAAACUCUGAUUGAAUAGGGUGUAUUCACUAGUUUUCUCCCAUUUGUCCUUGUGAGAUGAAACAGAUUCCAAUUUUCCUCCAAGAUAACAAAUAAGCUGUUACUAGUACAAGCAU